rnacentral:rRNA from 1 species
UACAGAGACGGCAAGCGUUGUUCGGAUUCACUGGGCGUAAAGGGUCCGCAGGUGGUCGAGCAAGUCUGAUGUGAAAUCCCGCAGCUUAACUGCGGAACUGCAUCGGAAACUACUCGGCUAGAGGUUGGUAGAGGAGUCUGGAAUUCUUGGUGUAGCGGUGAAAUGCGUAGAUAUCAAGAGGAACACCGGUGGCGAAGGCGAGACUCUGGACCAUACCUGACACUCAGGGACGAAAGCGUGGGGAG